CUUCAAUCGAUAGGACGUUCUGCUGCUUUACGUCAACAUUCUUCAACGAUUACGGAACUCCGGCUCGGAUUAACGCCGUCAAAGUGCUAGUCAAAAACGUUCCGGACUUCAGCGCUUCCCAGAAAAGGGCUUCCUGACGAUCGAUCUCAAUACCUAUCUCAAUCAGGUGGGACAUAAUCAUCCUGCGAGGCGAAAACGCCCUGCUGGGCUUCAAGAACAUGAACACCAAGUACAUACUUUUCUGGGACGAUGGCAAUGAGGCCACCAGAACGUGACGUUGAUCCUUUCCUUGAACAUCGUUCCAAAUGCAGGACUGCUUCCGAAUUUAUUUGUUCACGGACAUCAGACGUUCAAGUUCCCGGAAACCUACAUGCCGUCGCCUGUCUAAAAAAACUAGAAAAUUGACACAAAAACACCUACAAGAGCUUAUCGAAGAUUAUAAAAGAGCUAAAAAAACGAAUCGAUACUUAAACAAGCCACCAAAGGAUUCGUUUUCAGCCGAACUGUAGCUGACGAUGCAGCAUUUUCAUUUACCCUAUUCUAAUUAUUUGGUUUUUGUUUGUAAAUUGAAGCAAUCAUCAAUGAAAAAACCAAACUUUAGGAACAUCUGGUCGAAAGGAUCCCUAGAACCGUGUGCACUUCUUCCUUAGUUCUUCAGAUAUGUAUGUUUAGAUAAAAGUAAAAAAAUUUCGAAAUAAAAUAAAAUUUGAA